GACGAACGCUGGCGGCGUGCUUAACACAUGCAAGUCGAACGGAAAGGCCCUGCUUUUGUGGGGUGCUCGAGUGGCGAACGGGUGAGUAACACGUGAGUAACCUGCCCUUGACUUUGGGAUAACUUCAGGAAACUGGGGCUAAUACCGGAUAGGAGCUCCUGCUGCAUGGUGGGGGUUGGAAAGUUUCGGCGGUUGGGGAUGGACUCGCGGCUUAUCAGCUUGUUGGUGGGGUAGUGGCUUACCAAGGCUUUGACGGGUAGCCGGCCUGAGAGGGUGACCGGCCACAUUGGGACUGAGAUACGGCCCAGACUCCUACGGGAGGCAGCAGUGGGGAAUAUUGCACAAUGGGCGGAAGCCUGAUGCAGCAACGCCGCGUGCGGGAUGACGGCCUUCGGGUUGUAAACCGCUUUCGCCUGUGACGAAGCGUGAGUGACGGUAAUGGGUAAAGAAGCACCGGCUAACUACGUGCCAGCAGCCGCGGUGAUACGUAGGGUGCGAGCGUUGUCCGGAUUUAUUGGGCGUAAAGGGCUCGUAGGUCGUUGAUCGCGUCGGAAGUGUAAUCUUGGGGCUUAACCCUGAGCGUGCUUUCGAUACGGGUUGACUUGAGGAAGGCAGGGGAGAAUGGAAUUCCUGGUGGAGCGGUGGAAUGCGCAGAUAUCAGGAGGAACACCAGUGGCGAAGGCGGUUCUCUGGGCCUUUCCUGACGCUGAGGAGCGAAAGCGUGGGGAGCGAACAGGCUUAGAUACCCUGGUAGUCCACGCUGUAAACGGUGGGUACUAGGUGUGGGGUCCAUUCCACGGGUUCCGUGCCGUAGCUAACGCUUUAAGUACCCCGCCUGGGGAGUACGGCCGCAAGGCUAAAACUCAAAGGAAUUGACGGGGCCCCGCACAAGCGGCGGAGCAUGCGGAUUAAUUCGAUGCAACGCGUAGAACCUUACCUGGGUUUGACAUGGAUCGGGAGUGCUCAGAGAUGGGUGUGCCUCUUUUGGGGUCGGUUCACAGGUGGUGCAUGGCUGUCGUCAGCUCGUGUCGUGAGAUGUUGGGUUAAGUCCCGCAACGAGCGCAACCCUUGUUCACUGUUGCCAGCACGUUAUGGUGGGGACUCAGUGGAGACCGCCGGGGUCAACUCGGAGGAAGGUGGGGAUGACGUCAAGUCAUCAUGCCCCUUAUGUCCAGGGCUUCACGCAUGCUACAAUGGCUGGUACAGAGAGUGGCGAGCCUGUGAGGGUGAGCGAAUCUCGGAAAGCCGGUCUCAGUUCGGAUUGGGGUCUGCAACUCGACCUCAUGAAGUCGGAGUCGCUAGUAAUCGCAGAUCAGCAACGCUGCGGUGAAUACGUUCCCGGGGCU
rnacentral:rRNA from 1 species